GGUCGAUAUCCCCUGGAACAGUAAGAUAUCCUGGUUGCUGAGAAACUUUUAGCACUCUUCAAUUCCAUGGAGUUUGCAUGUUUAAGUGAGGGCACAAACUACUACUUCCCACCAUGCCACAUAGUUAAUAUAUAGGCCAGAGUUCAUCAAAUUCAGAAUCUGUAAGGCAGGAAGUUUCAGAGCUUCUUGAUUUGAAAGUUUAAUUCAGGCUGAG